rfam:Marinovum algicola DG 898, complete genome.
AGAUCGAGUGACGCGCGGUGGGACGUGCGCCGAGAAUGGAUCCGUUUCACGCCGUCACUGACGAGAAUGCGCCGUUGCAGCCCCGGCACUGCGCGCG